UUGUGCUUAACGUAAACAUUGGAUGUUAACUAUUUUAUAGACUUAGUAGGACGAUAUGCUUCUACUGUGUAGUUGUUUAUUUGGCAUAUUUAUCUCACAUUCAGGUGCAUCCGUAUCGCUAAUGAUAGAGGAUGGAGUGUCAAGUAUUCAAGAUGGUUCUAAAGUGAUUCUAAUAUGUACGAUAUCUCCAUAUAGUAAUGGAAUGACAUGGCUUGUGAAUAACGAUCCAUACGCUGACUGCUUUCAAGGAUCAUGUGGUGCUUAUCCAAACAAACCCUUCACAUUCAUAUUCAACUUUGAUGAAAGUAAUGGGGAAUUUAGACUCACUAUAGAGUCUGUUAAUACUUCUCACGCUGGUCAACUUUUCGCAUGUGACGACGGGAGUGAGAGAAAAACCAUAACUUUUAAUGUCACAACAGGA